rnacentral:tRNA from 1 species
GGGGACGUAUAUAUGGUAGGGCGCUCGCUUCGCAUGCGAGAGGCACGGGGUUCGAUUCCCCGCAUCUCCA